GCUCCUGUAGCCCAACUGGAAGAGGUGACUGUCUCAAAAACAGUUUAUGUGCGAGUUCAAAUCUCGCCAGGAGCA
rnacentral:tRNA from 1 species